rnacentral:rRNA from 1 species
GAUGAACGCUGGCGGCGUGCCUAACACAUGCAAGUCGAGCGAACAGACGAGGAGCUUGCUCCUCUUCCGUUAGCGACGGACGGGUGAGUAACACGUGGAUAACCUACCUAUAAGACUGGGAUAACUUCGGGAAAGCGGAGCCAGCACCGGAUAACAUGGUGAACAGCGUGGUUCAACAGUCAAAGACGGUUUUGCUGUCACUUAUUGAUGUAUCCGCGUCGCAUUAGCUAGUUGGUAAGGUAACGGCUUACCAAGGCAACGAUGGGUAGCCGACCUGAGAGGGUGAUCGGCCACACUGGAACUGAGACACGGUCCAGACUCCUACGGGAGGCAGCAGUAGGGAAUCUUCGGCAAUGGGCGAAAGCCUGACGGAGCAACGCCGCGUGAGUGAAGAAGGUCUUCGGAUCGUAAAACUCUUUUAUUGGGGAAGAACAAAUGUGUAAGAAACUAUGCACGUCUUGACGGUACCUAAUGAGAAAGCCACGGCUAACUACGUG